rnacentral:lncRNA from 1 species
GUCCCAUUUAUUAGCAAAAUUACUUUAUUCUAACAAAUAGUUUAACACAAAAAUACGAACUAGCCCUCCAGGGAUCUUUGGGGUCUACGCUUCCCAUCGCCUCAGUGUCCGGUGCAUGAGGAAGGUGUCCUCUGAAGGGCGGGGCCGGAGUUGAAGUCGGAGAGGGGGCAGACCGUCCAGGGUCAGGUGUGGAGAUUCAUAAAAUAGCGUUUCUGGGUCACACAAGAUGGUCAUGUCUGGCCCAGGCCCAGGUGGCUCUUUGGGUGCGGGGCUCGAGCCUGUGGCGGCAGGAGAGCCAAUUUCUCCCUGAGCGCGGCAUUCAGAACCUGUUCCUCCGGCACCUGCAGGCUCACCAGGUCCCGGAAGAGCCGCUUGGAGCGCGGCACGUUCAGCCCUGAGAGCGCAGCGGGGACGGAGGUGAGUGGCGCGCCUCACCCCGACUCCCGCACGCGGCCGGCCGCCCGCCCCCCUCACCCUCGGACACGCUCUCCUCCAGGCCGCAGCGGAUCUGGAACGACUUUCUCAGCUGUUCCUCCACGGCCUUCGCAGCAUCAAAGUGGCUCCCGGCUGCGGCCCGCAGCUCCAGGCCCAAGGCCAGGCUGCUCUUCAGCACGGGCAUCUCCAGCUCCUGCGGCACCGCAGGCUGCGGCUCGGACCGCACCGGGGAGGGCGGCGUCAGGCGGAAGCGGACCUGGGA